UGUCUGACGUCGGUCUUAUGUUAAAAAAAAAAAGAAAUGUUACAAUCGUUUGUGAUAUGACACCAAUGAUGAGAGGACGAAAUUAAAAAAAAAACAAUCAAAUUCAUUUUUUUUCUCUCAAUUCAUCUAAAAUCUCAUACCUUCAUUUUUACUUAUCUCCAACUUCAAACAUGUUUUUCUCAUCUUCAAUCUCUAUUUUUUCAUCUUAAAUCUCCACCCUCUAUCUCUAACAUUUAUCUCCAACCUCCAUCUUCAACCUCCAACCUCUAUUUUUUUUCAUUUUCAACCUCCAUUUUUCCUCAUUUUUAGCCUCCAAUCUCCAUUUUUUCAUCUCAAACCUUCAUUUUUUCUUAAUUCCAAUCUCCAACCUCCAUUUUAUUCUUAUCUCCAACCUUUAUUUUUUAUUAAUUUUUUUAUUGGAGGUUGGAGGAAGGAAAUAUGAAGAUGAUAUGUGUUUAAGGUUCUUCUUCUUCUUCUUCUUCUCCUCCUUUUUCCUCUUCUUCUUCUUCUUCUUCUUCGCAUAUCUGGUAUAUCUAACAUAACUAUUCAUGUUCAUUAAUGUUGUUGUUAUUUGUUUAUGUUAUAAGUUUAUUGUUGAUGUUAUUGUUGUUGUUUGUUGUUGUUGUUUUUUGUUGUUGUUGUUGUUGUUGAGACCAAAAACAUUAGAGGUUUAAUCUUGUUGUUGUUGUUGUUGUUUAAACUGAGAUUGAUGUUAUAUGUUGUUGUUUAGAUUGAGAUCAUGUUAAUGUUGUUUUUAACUAUUGUUAUUUUUGAGUUGUUGUUGUUAUUGUUGUUGUUGUCUAGUUGUUAUACUUAGCAAAGUUUUGAAAUCUAUAUGUUUAGGAUUUAGUCAUUGUUAUUGAGUUUGAGUUUGAAACGAAGAUUAUGUUUUUUGUGAUUUUUUGUGCAACUCCCAUCUUGUUCCUCUGAACAUGUCAAGAGGACAUUAUAGUGACAGAAAAUACAGUUGAAUUUAUUA
rnacentral:lncRNA from 1 species